rnacentral:rRNA from 1 species
AGGUCACAAGCGUUGUCCGGAUUUAUUGGGCGUAAAGGGAGCGCAGGUGGUUUGUUAAGUCUGAUGUGAAAGCCCCCAGCUCAACCGGGGAACUGCAUUGGAAACUGGCAAACUUGAGUGCAGAAGAGGAAAGUGGAAUUCCAUGUGUAGCGGUGAAAUGCGUAGAUAUAUGGAGGAACACCAGUGGCGAAGGCGACUUUCUGGUCUGUAACUGACACUGAGGCUCGAAAGCGUGGGGAGCGA